rnacentral:lncRNA from 1 species
AUGCUCCUUCAUUUUCUACUUUAGUUUAAAAAAGAGGACGUUUGACAUUCUACAUGCUGUAACUAUCAGGACAUGGAUGGUAAUCUGAAUUUCGUUUUUGCUAUUCAAUUAACUCUAACAGCUUGAGCGCAUUAGUCUUAGCCCCAGGGCAAAUUCUUGCUGCAGGACAGAUAGUUUGGUAACUAGUGGAACAUUUACAAGCCGGUGGGGAAACAAGCCUGUGUUCCCCCAGGUGCUCCUUGUGUGUCCCAGCGUUCCCCAUUUGUCCAGGGAACUGAAGGGGUCAAAAGAACCAAAACCAUCCCUGAGAUGCCUUGCUAAUACAACUAACCCCUCCACAGACAUGCCACAACUUACCUCUUCCUCGGUGUAUGUAUACUUCAUGUUAACAGGGUUCUUAUAAAGCACAUUUUCUGAAUCUGCAAUCAUUCCUUUGACAAUUACUGGUACCCAAAGGAAAACUCAUUUUCUUUGCAUUACCCCAGUAAUACAUAAAAGCUGUCUCUUGUUAUAGUGGUACAUUAUGAAGCUUGGAUAGUAUCUUAGAUUACAGAGCAAAUGGUAAGAUGAAGAACAGUACCAAGCCCCCAUAGCUCAUUUCUCCUCAAUAUAAUCAGAUGUUAACAUAACUUAAGAGGACUGAAGGCUGGUGCAGUGCCCCCCGUCCCAUGCAACACAUCUCUGCAGUUAGUGGAGUAAAUACAAGGCCACUUUCCUGUCAUCCAGGCUCACAUGUUCUGAGUUUCAAAAGUGGCUCUUGUGUGACUGAAUCAAUUACAGUUUACAAACUAAAGCCAAAUACUUUGAAGACAAUCUAAUGGGCCAGUGGGUUAACAUUUCACUGGAGAUGGAAAGCGCUCUCCAGCAGGGUCCGUGGCUUUCUUCUGUUUUCAAGAAGAGUUCCAUAUGCUGGACCACUUCUUUGUAGUCUUCCCCGUUAUCCAAAACCUGGGCGGCCAGCGGUUUCCUGAACGUGUUGCUUCUAUAAGGGAAUAUUUACUUUGUUUUCUACUAAAGUUCCUAUCCUUGGCAUAUGAUUGCACUUGAUUUUGGCAUUUAGGGUCUGGGGUUUCUAUUGUAUGUUUUCGGUUAAGAGUAUUUAAGGAACAUCGUUGUAGGUUCUCACCCAUGUUAGUUUUACGAGAAUGGGAUGACUUGAGUGUUAUUCAGACUAAAUUCUCAUUGGCAGCAAGCCAUACAAGAGCAAGAAGGGGGCAGGGGUGUGGAGAGGGGUAUGAAGUGUGUCUUUGCCUGUGAGAUUUCAACAUUUAAUAGUGAAGAUUCUGAGCAACCUAUCUUUAUUGAAGAAAAAAAAAUCCCUCUUAAACAUUGGCUCUCUGUAAGCAGGAUAAGUGCGAUAGUUGUGUAUCUACUUGACACCAUAAUAAACUGAACUCAGCUUUUCGAUUCCUCAUCUCAGACUACACUGCAUUGUUCAGAAUAUAUGUAGAUGGUACCUGUCUUAACCCUGUAUCUCCAGUCCUUUGCACGGGUGGGUGGAGUGGUUAUUUGCUAGGUGGGUUUGGUAGACAGACGGAUGGCUUUCACGGGCCAUUGAGUUUACUCAAUACCGUUGCUAUUUGUUGAUGCAGAUAUAUAUUGAAACAAAUUUCCUUUUCUUUCUUUUUUUUUUUUUUCCAUCUCACUCUUCCAUGCUGUUUUCUUGCUAUGUAUUUCUCUCCCAACUACUAGAAAGGAAAGUGUAGCUGUGUGGUUCUCAUGGUACUUUCUUAUUAUAUAUAUUGAUUGAGGUCAUGGCAGAACUCAACAGUGUUCAAAGAAAAAUAAUUGUGAAGAAAAUUUUAUGAGAUAAAUGGAAAUGGGUUAUUGUGUUUGUUUCCAAAACUUUUAGGUAAAAGCUUGAUAUUGUUCAUCUUUGUCAGUCAGCUUUUCAUCGCUGUGACAAAAUUCUUAAUUAUAAACAACUUAAAGGAGAAAAUUUGGGCCUGUUUUCAAUCCAUGGUCACCUGCCUCCAUCACCUUGGGCCUGGUGCAAUCACAUUGGGGAGUUUUUCACCAUAUAGAAUCUGUGAAAGAGAAAAGAGGCAGAAAAGGAAGAAAAAGUAGAGAACAGGAAGAGAGAGAAAAGAGAGCCAGGCACAAGGCGUACUCCUCAGAGAAACACCUCAAAUAGCCUUCCUCUGGCCCCUAAUAUCCCACUCAGCCACCAGGUCAUCCACCGUGGCUUCCACCCAUCCAGGAUUAGUUCAUCUGACCAUGACCUGAUCCCAUCUCAGUAAUGCCUGUAGAUAGAGGGCAAAACCCUGCAUACAUGAGUUUUCUGGGGCCACCUUCAUACCCAAACCAUACACCAUACAAACCUCCUGAAAUACUCAGGUUUGGGGUUUGCUUUUUGUUUUUAGGUUAAAACUGGAGAAGCCAUUUUUAAUAUAUUAUCCUUUGAGCCUUCAAAGAUAAGGUUUCCUCAGGUGCCUGCAAUACAUUGCUGUAGGAAGAAUGUAAUUCUUUCACUGCUCUUGGAAUCAGCCUGUGUCAUUUAGAAGAGAGAAUAUUAAGUGUAUUUACCAAAAUAUAUCAUCAGAACUGGCAUUUUAAAAAGAUAAUUAUAGGACUGUAAGUCAGUAUCCCUAAAAACCACCAUUGUUUGUAUUCAGUUUCUUAAAUUUAGGUACACGACCCUGAGAAUACAGCAAUGAAUAUAUGGAUCAAGUUAGACUAUUUUAGCUUUGGUAUGAACAUUGUUUCCUUUUAAUUAAUGUCAGAUGCACAUAGGCCAUAAAAUUCAUGAUUCGAUGCCAAUUUGAAUGUCACUGAAUGAAUUCAGAAGCUGAUUUCUCUUUUCCAGAACUAAUGGGAAAUCAUUGCUACCUUACUUUUUACUUCACUGUGUGGAACAGAAUCCAUAGCCUCACUCGGAACUCUGCCGCCAUCUAGGGGCCUCUCCUUUCAUUACAAGCUUUUCUUUUUCUAAAGUGUGGGGCUACAAAGCUCAACAAGGAGCCAAGACUUGUAAGGUCACUGCAGAGCCCUAAAAACAGCCUAGCUCUGCAGACGACCAGUCAUUUAUUAUGCUGAAAUGAUGUUUCUCGUUAGCUGCUAAAAUUGCUCGUGUGGCUGGAGAGACAGACUUUAAGAGCGCAUCCUGUUCUUCCAGGGGACCCAGGGUUCAGUUUCUGACACCCAUGGCAGACAGCUCACAAUUGCCAGCAGCUCUGGCUACAGAGGACUGAAGUCCUCUCCCAGACUGCAUGGGCACCUGCAUACAGGUGCACACUAACACAAAGAUAUGAGUAAAAUAAAAUAAAUCUUUAAAUGUUUUGGUAUUUUCUUAGCCUAUAGAAGUUGAAGGCUCACACAACUCAUUAGAAAGAAUCCCACAGGUAUUCCUGUAAUCCCAGCACUAAGGAGUCUGAUUCCAUCUUCUUGCAAAACAAGAAGGGAAGGAGGAAGGGUGGGCAGUGAUUGCAAAGAACAAAUUAAAGCUCUGAAUGUUU